rnacentral:rRNA from 1 species
GACGAACGCUGGCGGCGUGCCUAAUACAUGCAAGUCGGGCGGACCUCUUCGGAGGUCAGCGGCGGACGGGUGAGUAACACGUGGGCAACCUGCCUGUAAGACUGGGAUAACACCGGGAAACCGGUGCUAAUACCGGAUAAUCCUUUUCCUCACAUGAGGGGAAGCUGAAAGACGGUUUCGGCUGUCACUUACAGAUGGGCCCGCGGCGCAUUAGCUAGUUGGUGGGGUAACGGCCCACCAAGGCGAGGAUGCGUAGCCGACCUGAGAGGGUGAUCGGCCACACUGGGACUGAGAAACGGCCCAGACUCCUACGGGAGGCAGCAGUAGGGAAUCUUCCGCAAUGGACGAAAGUCUGACGGAGCAACGCCGCGUGAGCGAAGAAGGCCUUCGGGUCGUAAAGCUCUGUUGUCAGGGAAGAACACGUACCGGAGUAACUGCCGGUACCUUGACGGUACCUGACCAGAAAGCCACGGCUAACUACGUGCCAGCAGCCGCCGUAACAC